AGUGAACGCUGGCGGUAGGCCUAACACAUGCAAGUCGAACGGCAGCACAGGAGAGCUUGCUCUCUGGGUGGCGAGUGGCGGACGGGUGAGGAAUACAUCGGAAUCUGCCCAGUCGUGGGGGAUAACGUAGGGAAACUUACGCUAAUACCGCAUACGACCUUCGGGUGAAAGAGGGGGAUCGCAAGACCUCUCGCGAUUGGAUGAGCCGAUGUCGGAUUAGCUAGUUGGCGGGGUAAUGGCCCACCAAGGCGACGAUCCGUAGCUGGUCUGAGAGGAUGGUCAGCCACACUGGAACUGAGACACGGUCCAGACUCCUACGGGAGGCAGCAGUGGGGAAUAUUGGACAAUGGGCGCAAGCCUGAUCCAGCCAUACCGCGUGGGUGAAGAAGGCCUUCGGGUUGUAAAGCCCUUUUGUUGGGAAAGAAAUCUUUCAGGCUAAUACCCUGGGAGGAUGACGGUACCCAAAGAAUAAGCACCGGCUAACUUCGUG
rnacentral:rRNA from 1 species